ACCGGUGUGGCUCAACGGAUAGAGCGUCAGCCUGCGGACUGAAAGGUCCCAGGUUCGAUUCCUGUCAAGGGCA
rnacentral:tRNA from 1 species